UCCAUCUCCCUUUCUUUCGAUGCGUGAAACCUCAGCAGCAACUAUGGUAAGUCUUCAUCUUCUCCCUUUCUCUAUCUUCUAUUCUUCGAUUCAUCUUCGUCUUCUACCCCUGAGAUCGGAUUAUUUUUGUUUAAUGGCAAAAAGAAACAGAAACGGCAAACCUAAUUCAAUUUACAUAACCCAAAACCUUUGAAUCUCCACAAAUCAAAACACACUCAGAAAACACAAUCACAAAGAGAGAAAAUUUUCUCAGAAAAUCUUUGAAUCUCUCUCUCUCCAAAAUCAACUGAUUUGUUUUCCCCAAAUUUGACUUCGAAACUCUUCGAGAAUUUGAUUUCUCUCUUAAUGAAUGGGCAAAAGCUGCCGCUGCGUGAGAAAGACGCAUUGCAAUGGUUGAAUUAGAGAGGAGUGAAGGAGACAUAAAUCAUAGUUUUAUGACAUUGGAAGAAAUCAGGUUAGAGAAUGAUAAGCAUAAUAAUGGGUAAAACGAGCUAAUCCGAGAACAAGGAGAAUGCAGCAGCAGCUGUCCUUCUUACUAUUUGGACAAAUUCACCCUCUGGAAAACCCUAGCUGUUCGAAUUUCUCUACUGAUCUCACUUUGAAGAUGGUGAUUUUAAGAAAGAAGAUGUUGCAGAUCCUACUGGCAGGAGUGGUUCCUUUCCAAACGAAUAGGAAAUUGCAAUUUAACGUCACAGAAAGUGUUGAAUACUGCUGGAUGGACUAUGAAUUAGAUGCAGCAAUAUAACUCAGAUGUAAUACUACUAAGUGCAGUUGGACAGGAAGCAAGAGAGGGUGUGAAAGAGCCUAGACCAGAAGUUUAUAAAGAUCAGAAUUACUAUGGAGGUAAUUUUAAUCAGAAACAGGGUGGGGAUUCGACGGUGCAAGGUUCGAGGACGAGUGACGGCAAGGUGGAGUCUGGAUCAGAAAGAAGGGGUUAGUAUUAUCGACUGUAUAUUUCUUUGUGAUUUGAUGAUUUUUGAUUUGAUGAUUAGAUGAUGAUUAUGAUGAUGAUGGGAGAAUUGUUAAUGGUGUUACUGGACAUAUGACAGCUCUACGGAAAUGAAGGAGACUAUAACGGGAAGGGAAAUUAUGGAGUCUUAUAAAACUAGGGAAAUUAUUUUUUUCUAAUGUAUUUAUUUAACUUUGAGCUUCGUACAUCGCGUGCAUCUCUAUUAAUUUUAGAACAUUUAUUGUUUAUGCAGUCGCUCUAGACCCGAAGCUCGGGGUAGUCCUGAAUUUGUUAAAGAUGAAAGCCCUGCUAAUGGAAGAUACCACAGUCGCUUUAGACUUGAGGUCGAGGAACGCCUGAUUAUCCUAAAGAUGAACUUCUAAUGGAAGAUAUCACAUGUUCAUCGUUCUAGACCUGAAACUCAGGGGAACUCCUGAUUAUGCUAAAGAUGAAGGCCUUGCUAAUGGAGGAAGAUACCACAGUCGAUCUCCUCCACCACGAGAGAGGUCGAGAUCCUAAGCAAGGAGAUGGUCACAAAUCGGUCACUUGAAGGGCUGUUUCUGGAGAGGGGACGAUAUCCUAAGCAAAGAAAUGAUCUUGAAUCAGUAUUUGUCAAGUGCAGGUUUUAGAGGAGAGCUAUAGUUGCUUAAAAGUACCCUAUUUGUGAAAAUGCAUGUAUCAACAAAUUUACAAUUGAAUUUGAUAUUGUGUUAGUGGUUUGAUGUAUUUUGAUAUCCCUUUAGAAGAGGGUUCAUAAGUGCUUAUGCUGUUGUCGAACCGUGGCUGAACUAUUUGUAUAUAGACAUGAUUUCAAGUGUGAACAUUUUGUAAAUUUUGUUAAUUUUAUGGAGACGUUCUUGAGUCA